UCCGCUGCCUCUAAGAUCUCAAAGUUCUGUUGAUAUGACUUCCUGAUAAUUUCCUCACAAGCUCACUCAUCACCAUCACCACAGUCUCAGCUUCCAAUCUACCCCGAUUUUUCCAUGUCUCUCUGCUUUCUCCUCCAUCUUCUCCCUCUUAUCACUCCAGUCCUAGUUCCUGCUCUAUCACUUUCUUCCUCUUCAUCGUCCUUGCCUUUGCUCCGUCUUCUGCUAUUCCUCUACACUGGGACAUUCUGCCCAAGAUCUCAAGACAAGGCUCUGGGAAUACAGCGCAGAGGAGGAAAUUGGAGAUGAGUUUAUUCUCUUCUAUAAGAGCAGCUUUCAAGAAAGACUAAGACACCCAACCAGAAAAUUACUGCCAUCAACAUACUUCACUCCAGUAAAAGCAAUCACUCACGUGCAGUAUUUAAAAGAAGUUUCAAAAACAGUCCUAACUUAUGCUUUAAAACAGAAAUAUAUACUGAGCAAUGCCUGAUGCCGACCUGCUGCUGCGUCCUAUGUUUGUAU